ACUCCUACGGGAGGCAGCAGUGGGGAAUCUUGCGCAAUGGGCGAAAGCCUGACGCAGCCAUGCCGCGUGAAUGAUGAAGGUCUUAGGAUUGUAAAAUUCUUUCAGUAGGGACGAUAAUGACGGUACCUACAGAAGAAGCCCCGGCUAACUUCGUGCCAGCAGCCGCGGUAAU
rnacentral:rRNA from 1 species